GCCAAAAAGAACCAGCAGCCUAUCCAUAGUCAUCACAGUAAGCGGGAUCCAUUAAUUCUAAGGCACGAGGAAGCAGAUAGUCAGGGAAUUCUACCCAGAGAAGACAUCUCUCCUAGUCCUGGCAAAAGGGAGCAAUAAAAGGGAAUUACAGGAGAAAAGAUGGAGAAGAAGGAGAAAGGGGGAAGAAGAGGAGGAGAAGAAAAAGGAAGAUGGAGAAAGAAGGAACUGAUGCAGCUUGAGAAACUCCAAGGACACGUGCUCCUGCAGAUGGACCUUGUCUUCCUGCAAACUCCAGGAUCACCACAGAUGGUCGCACCAAUACCUGCCAAGCGGUACUGUGAGACUGCGCCUAUCCUGCUCCCCUGCGCUGUCUGUGUGAAGAAAUCAGAACUACGGAUGCUCCUGCCACCGCCAGGAGCAUAUAAAAGGGACAGGAGAUGCGCCUCGUGGGAAGCCCCGAAACUGUUGCCUGGAGUACUUGAAAUUCCUGGGCUGCCUCUGUGUCCUCAGUGGAACCCUCCUCGAUCCUGGGUCCUCCCACUCCACCUUGCUAAAGAUUUGCUGUGUCCACUCCUCAUUCCUAUAACCAUGCCUAGGAGUUUUACCAGCCUGGUGUCUGUACCACCUUCAAAAUAACAUUUUAUGCUCGGAGCUCACUCAGGUAUUCCCACCGAGACAAUUAUUAGAUCAAAUUCAAACUCUGGAUUCAUCGACCCUCUGAUUCUACUCAUAGGCUUCUAUUUUCACGUCUCCUCUUGUUCAUCUUGGAUUCCAAAUUCCAUCAUUAUUAAUGGCAGCCCUAGUCUUUGUUUUGUUUUGAUUUGUUUUGGUGUUUUGUGACAGGGUCUCUCACUAUGCAGUUCAGGCUGGCCUUGAGUUUACUUUGCAGCCCAGGCUGGCCUGGAACUCACAACGAUCCUCCUGCCUCAGCUUCCAGAGUGCAGGGAUUACAAGCAUGUGCCAUCAUGCCCAGCUUUGUAGUUCCAGUCUUGACACCUCUUCUUCUGGAGUCACACUUCUCCAGUUUCCCUUGUACUUUUCUCCCACUGUUCCUCCGUUUCAUUUAGUGGUUUGCCUUCCCUAACAGUCUCUAAAUGUUAGAACUACCUGAUAUUCUGUCCCAGGCGUUUUCCCCUCCUCAUUCUAUACUUUCUUGCUAGGCGAGAUCCUCUCCUGUCACAGCUCUAAGUGUCAUUUAAUGAUGACACCGUAUCUCCGGCCUCAACCAACUUCUGAGCCCCAGAUCCUCCAGCAGCUCCCUGUCUGACACUGCCUCUCCGGUCUGAUCAGUUUCCGCACCCAGUUGGUCAUUAUUUCCAAGUCUCUGCACCACCACUGCGGUUUAGUGCAAGCCCCCGCCAUUGUUCUCUGGGACCCCUGCAGGAGUCCUCUAACUGUGAGCUUUGUCAUCACCUGCCUCUGUCCAGGCCUGUCUCCACGCAGCCACCAGAGAGAUUUGCAAAUGAAAUCAGACAGUGUGUCCUGUUUAAUGCCCUUAAUGAUUUUUCUCUAUUGAGAGAGUGAAGUUAAAAUGCUUAACAUUUCUACACGGCUGAGCCUGUGUCUGCUUCUCCAGCAUUAUCCUGCUUAGAACAGACCAACUCCAUCGUUCUCCUCUUGAUUUUGCAAGCGGCUAACUUCCUGUCUUGGGUUUUCCUGUGCGCACCUUCCUCCGCCUAGAACGUUCUUCUCUGGGCUUGUUUUUUGUAGUCCCCUCCCGUUCCUCACUUGGUUGUUACUAAUCCUUUGAUUCUCUGUUUUUAAUAAGUGACUUCUUGGGAGCACACUGUCUAGGUCCUCCAUUUGUAUGUUCUUGGCCUGCCCUGUUUCAUUUGUAGUACUAAUCACCAUGGUUUUAUUGUUGUUGAUGACAUGAUCUAAUUGACAUCUCCUACUCCUUGAAUGUGGCAUAAUAACUGACCCACUUAAUAAAUAUUUGUUGAAUGAA